CUGCGUAGGCUAAAGGGUAAAGGUCAGGACAGGCAUCGAGAUGGUGGCGCUACCGAAAGUUGCUGGGCAGAUAAAACCGUGUCCGUGAGAGAAAGAGAGGCGAGAUGGUGCUUUCCUCGCGCUGCGGCUGAUCCGCCCUCAACCGCCGAUCCUCGCUCUGCUCUUGUCGCGUCUCCCUCCGUCCAGUCCAAUGAGCGUCGCGUACGAGCUGCUGUGGCGUUUGCUGCACGUCUUCCUCAGCGCCCAGCGCGCGCUGGUCGCCUGGGCCCGCGGCUGGUUCGGAGGUCGCGGCUCGUGGCUCAGCGGUUGGAGGCGGCGCGCGGCUUCGGCUGCCACCGCCGCCUCGCGGGCCCUUUUAGCUCCGGCGGCCGCCGCGAGCCCUUUCGCCUUUCACAAGCCGGCGGCGGCGGGGCGGAAGGUGGUGGGCAGCGGGGGUCGGUGGCGGAGGGAUGUAAAAUCUUUGCAGAAGAUGCCGGGCCACGUGGGACUGGUCGUGACCGAGGAGGAGCAGAGCUACGCCGACGUGGCCAGCCUAGUUGUGUGGUGCAUGGCGGUGGGCAUCUCCUAUGUCAGCGUCUACGACCACGAAGGUAUUUUCAAAAGAAAUAAUUCAAGGCUGAUGGAUGAAAUUUUAAAACAGCAGCAGGAAUUGUUGAAUCUUGACUGUUCCAAAUAUACUGUGAAGUUUGCAAAUCAGGAGAAAACAGAUCAAGCUGCAGUUUUAAAUUGCCAGUCUGCACUGAAUGUGCUGUCCUCAGAGGAUGGAAAAACAGAUAUAGUAAGAGCAGCUCAGAAAUUUUGCCACUUAGUAGCACAAAAGCAAAAGAAAUGUACAGAUCUGGAUAUGGAUGUCUUGGAGAAUUUAUUAAGUAGUACUAAUGGCUUUCCGGAUCCUGACCUAAUAUUAAAGUUUGGUCCUGUGGACAGUGUCUUGGGAUUUCUUCCCUGGCAAAUCAGAUUGACAGAGAUUGUUUCUUUGCCUUCACAUGUGAAUAUCAGCUAUGAUGAAUUCUUCUCUGCCCUUUGUCACUAUGCAUCCUGUGAUCAGCGUGUUGGAAAAUGACCUAUUGCAGAAUUCUAUCGGGAUUUCUUUGGAAAGGACCCAAGGUCUCUGUUUACAAAUACCUGUGAUGCAUACAAAUCCAGUACAUAGUCUUUUAAUUUAUCAAAUUCAAUAAAGUGUCUUAUCCUUUUUAGAAUUUGUAUGUGUGUAUACUCAUAAUCUAUGGAAGUAUGGGAAAGCAAUGGUUUACUGCUCUCUAAUGUAUAUCAUAAAAGUUGUUUAAAAAAAAGUUGUUUGAAGGCUUCAGGCUUAUUUUUUUCCAGUGAUCAAAUUCUUAUUACUAGAAAUAUUUACAUGUAAUUAUGAAGAAGAAAACAAAGUAGUAGCACUACAGUCAUUAGAGGUAGCACAUUCUCAGUUGAAGUCUCCUCAUAAAAACUUCUGAAAUCAUACCUUAUGUCUUCUUCUUUGUCAGACAGAAGUCUGCAUCUGACCUUCUAAGCCCUAGAAUCUAGGAACACACUGUGAACUGAUUAUCUGCAAACACUUAUAAAAAUGUGUGAUAGAGUGAGGUCGGACAGAAGGAAUAACUGGUAUCUAAGCUGAAGAUUAAAUAGAACAGGACCAAAAACAGAAUAGUUAUAUGGUUUUUGGAAGGUGGGAAUGUUUUUAAAUCAUAGGUCAAAACACAUUACAAAUGAGCAAUUGAACCAUGGGUCUUAUAACUAUGGACCAUUCUUUCUGUCUUGGGGAACAGGGGUUUAAUUAGCAUGGUGGAUUGUGUGGAAGAAUGGAUGUGGGAAUGGAGCAUCCUCAUGUAAUGGAGUUCCAUAAACUGAACUUUUUCAAAUAUACCAUGAACAAUUGGACCUCUCUGUACUGUGGUAUUUUAGAAUAGCGUAUUAACUUCUCAGAGUGGAGGUAAGUUUUUAAAAAGGCUUGUACUUUCCUUUAAAAAAAGUAUUGAUUCCAUUUUCAACACGAGUAUCUACCUUGUUAUCUUAAUUUCAAAAAUGAGUUAACUAAUCUGGGUGAGGAUGCGUGUGGUAGGAAUACACUCAGUUUAUGUUUGGCUACAUGAACAGUAGCAACAAAAAAUGAAAGUGUUAAUUCACUAUGUACUGGUAACUUCCAAUUUUAAAAUCAUCAAUACACUAUAACAUGAUUAUCUGCAUAAAUUAUUGUGGCAGUUAUUAUGUGACAGCGUUUUAAUACAACAAUUCAACAAAUAUAUGAAACUAAAAUUCAUUGAUUGAUUUGUCGGCUAACUUCCUGCAGCAACUUUGUAGUGCCGCUUGAGAUAUGUGGUGUGAUAUUUUUCUCCAAACCUCUAACUUAAUCUUAUAUCCCUAAGUCGUCAUUGCAAAUUUUUAAAUAGACUGUCCAGUAAAUACUGAACAGUUACUUGUUUUCAACUGCAUAUUUUUAAGAGUAGCAAAACCAUUUUUAUUAUAAUGUUUUGGUUUAAAAGGGAUCAGAAACUUAAAUCUAUUUUGUGAAUGGCUCUUUUUGUAAAUGUCUCAAACUAGUGGAGUAAAAUAUUCCAGAUGAUAAUAGUAUUUUUCUCCUUUUUAAAUAUCAAAGUGUACUUGAUACAUCUGUAACAAAACUAUGGAUUAACUGACUUAAUGGUUUUUUUGAGAAAGAAGAAUGCUUACUAUUGUGAGCUUAUGAUGUAAAAGGGCAUCAAGAUAAUAUACGUAUUGACUGGAAUGUUAGAAUCUAUCUUCUACUUGAGUUGUAGGUCUCCAGUAUCUACUAUGGUGAUCAUAAACAUGUGCAAUAUGUUUCAGGAAUGCUCAUGCAUUCAUUUCCAUGAAGUCUUUCAGGAAAUUGCAUCUUAGUGAAGACAGGUUUUGGAAUAUAUUCUACAGGAAAUAUGAGAAGUAUGACAUUGUAUAUGUAAAUUAAUUGAAGGACCUAGAGAGAACUGACAUCUAAACUUCAGAGCUAUGAGCUUAACAAAAUAAUUCUAGUACAAGUUACAAGAAGUAUAGUAGCAAAGUUAUGAUUCCACUUUUUUACUUGCUAGAUCUUUUCCAUGCUUAUCAAUCUUCAGAUUGCCAAAGAAUAGUUUGAACAGCCACCUGCAUUUUGUCCACCCUUGUGACAUUCCUUGACAACAGAUUACUUAUAUGUACCAGACUCAAUACAAAAUAUGAAGUUAGAUGUGCCAAAAACACUGUGCAUAUCCACAAUUUAUUAUUUGAAUGUGUGUCAUUGCAGCAAACUCCAAUCUCAAGUUAUGUGAGAAGGUAUAGUCAACGGCAGUGACAUUCUGUAUACGUUUGGAUACUUGUAAAUAAUAUGUAAAGCAACUUUUUAUUAUGAACAAAUUGACUUACUGGAUUUCAUUACUGAGGGUAAAAUAAGAACCUGUAAAGCAAAUAAAUUAUCUUUCUACAGGCAA